rfam:Oryza sativa Japonica Group DNA, chromosome 1, cultivar: Nipponbare, complete sequence.
AAUAAACAUUGCAUGAGUUCCCGUGUCCAACUUUGAUCGUCCGUUUUAUUUGAUUUUUUUUAUAAUUAGUAUUUUUAUUGUUAUUAGAUUAUAAAACAUUAAUAGUAUUUUAUGCGUGACUCAUAUUUUUUAGUUUUCUCAAAAAAAAUUCAAAUAAGACGAAUGAUCAAAGUUGGACACGAAAACUUAUGGUGCUGCGCUUAUU